AACAUGAUGAAGAUAUCCAACACGGUACAAUAAUUAUUGCAUUGAUUAUAAUCAAUACUAUAAAAGGGUUACAUGCUUAUAGCGUUGCGAGGAAAAGGAACCCUUUUAUAUACUAAAACUGUACACGUCAUUUACACAGUGACAAUAAAUGUAUAAAUAAAGCAACAAAUUGUGGUGUUGUUUAGUGUUCAAAGUUGAAGCGUGUCGUCAUGUGGUCCAAGGUUUACUUCGCGUUCCUGCUUCUCAUUUUAGGAGUAGCCUUUACUGCUGCAAAUUCUAUCAGAGCGAAUAUUAAAUGUCCAGGUGGGAGGGAACCAACGCUUUCGGGAAGAUGUCCAUUUGAACCUGAAAGCUUUGAUGAUGAUUACUACUAAGGGAUGAAAAUCACACAAGACACGUGGUACCCGCUGAUAGUUAUAUGUCAAUGGCUGAAGACAACGGCAGUGGAACUAUACAAUAACUUGUAAACAUGUGUCAUUACCAAAUUGUCAAUAAAAAGGCAUGUCGCAGUAAAA